AACUGAUGGAAACACCGGAAGUUGGCAGUACCCUCUAGCGGGGUUUCCCUAUCGUCGGUCUCUCGUCGCCAUCUUCUAGUUUGAUUGACAUCUAAAGAAAGAAGAAUGGCUAAGUCAAAGAAUGCUUCACAGCAUCAUAAUAACCGAAAGGACCAUAGAAAUGGUAUCCAUAAAGCUAAAAAAGUUUAUAAAAGUGGUAUGAAAGGGGUGGACCAGAAAUACGUACUGAAUUUAAAAUGGUCCCGUAAAAAUAAGAACCCCUCUACCAGACAAAUUAAAAAAUUACAAGAACGUAUGGAUAAUUGGAACAAAGCCCGAGGCAUGCCAGUCAAGCCUAUUGUCUUAAACAGACAGGUAGCAGAAAAAAAAGCAUUAAUGGCCACCCGACAAGGAAGAGCAAAGUUAAUGCAAUAAACUGUAUGAAAUAAAAAAAAAAUAUUAAAACCAAA